rnacentral:tRNA from 1 species
GGGGACGUGGUCUAGGCCGGACUAGGACGCCGGAUUGUCACUCCGGAGAUCGCGGGUUCAAAUCCCGUCGUCCCCGCCA